UACUGUAUACAACAAACUUUCAACUUUUGAGGAUGUAUUCUGUAUGUAGUGAUCAGCUGAUAAAUCUAUUGUUGGAAAUGAGUGGCGAUUUCCAUCAUUCCAAAUGAACAUAUACCUUUCCAAAAUUUCAUGUUUUUAUCUCAAGUUUUUUUGAGAAACGAAGACAGUUAUAAAUUAUGGCUUUUCGGGUCCUGUUAAGUGCUGGCAUUAGGAUGUGGAACGAAAAAGUAGGAGUACUGAAUAUCUGGUAAAUAAAAAAUAGAAAAGAAACGCCUGAAAUUUUUGGCAAGGUUCGAUUUAUUGAAAUUGAGAAAUAAAAUGUCAAGAAUCAUA